CCGCAUAAGAUUGUAGUACCGCAUGGUACAGCAAUUAAAGGAGCAAUCCGCUAUGAGAUGGGCCCGCGGCGCAUUAGCUAGUUGGUGAGGUAACGGCUCACCAAGGCGACGAUGCGUAGCCGACCUGAGAGGGUGAUCGGCCACAUUGGGACUGAGACACGGCCCAGACUCCUACGGGAGGCAGCAGUGGGGAAUAUUGCACAAUGGGGGAAACCCUGAUGCAGCAACGCCGUGUGAGUGAUGACGGCCUUCGGGUUGUAAAGCUCUGUCUUCAGGGACGAUAAUGACGGUACCUGAGGAGGAAGCCACGGCUAACUACGUGCCAGCAGCCGCGGUAAUACGUAAGUGGCGAGCGUUGUCCGGAUUUACUGGGCGUAAAGGGAGCGUAGGCGGAUUUUUAAGUGAGAUGUGAAAUACUCGGG
rnacentral:rRNA from 1 species